GAUGAACGCUAGCGGCAGGCCUAACACAUGCAAGUCGAGGGGCAGCACGUCUUCGGAUGGUGGCGACCGGCGCACGGGUGCGUAACGCGUAUGCAACCUACCUCUUACAGUGGGAUAGCCCAGAGAAAUUUGGAUUAAUACCGCAUAGUAUACAGAUUCAGCAUUGGGACUGUAUUAAACAUUUAUGGGUAAGAGAUGGGCAUGCGUUCUAUUAGUUAGUUGGAGUGGUAACGGCACCCCAAGACAGCGAUAGAUAGGGCCCUGAGAGGGGAUCCCCCACACUGGUACUGAGACACGGACCAGACUCCACGGGAGCAGCAGUGAGGAAUAUUGGACAAUGGGCGAGAGCCUUGAUCCAGCCAUGCCGACGUGCAGGAAGACGG
rnacentral:rRNA from 1 species